UACAUGGGGUGUAAACGUUGCUCGGAAUUAUUGGGCGUAAAGCGCACGUAGGUGGCUUGCCAAGUCGGACGUGAAAUCCCUCAGCUCAACUGAGGACGUGCAUCCGAAACUGGCGAGCUUGAGUACUGAAGAGGAUCGCGGAAUUCCCGGUGUAGAGGUGAAAUUCGUAGAUAUCGGUAGGAACACCAGUGGCGAAGGCGGCGAUCUGGGCAGAUACUGACGCUGAGGUGCGAAAGCGUGGGGAGCAAACAGG
rnacentral:rRNA from 1 species